ACCCAACUGAAGAGUCCCAAAGAGGAGGAAAUACGUGUCUUGAAU
rnacentral:hammerhead_ribozyme from 1 species